rnacentral:rRNA from 1 species
GACGAACGCUGGCGGCGUGCUUAACACAUGCAAGUCGAACGGAAAGGCCCUGCUUUUGUGGGGUGCUCGAGUGGCGAACGGGUGAGUAACACGUGAGUAACCUGCCCUUGACUUUGGGAUAACUUCUGGAAACUGGGGCUAGUACCUGAUAGGAUCUCCUGCUGCAUGGUGUGGGUUGGAAAGUUUCGGCGGUUGGGGCUGGACUCGCGGCUUAUCAGCUUGUUGGUGGGGUAGUGGCUUACCAAGGCCUUGACGGGUAGCCGGCCUGAGAGGGUGACCGGCCACAUUGGGACUGAGAUACGGCCCAGACUCCUACGGGAGGCAGCAGUGGGGAAUAUUGCACAAUGGGCGGAAGCCUGAUGCAGCAACGCCGCGUGCGGGAUGACGGCCUUCGGGUUGUAAACCGCUUUCGCCUGUGACGAAGCGUGAGUGACGGUAAUGGGUAAAGAAGCACCGGCUAACUACGUG